AACGAACGCUGGCGGCAGGCUUAACACAUGCAAGUCGAACGCACCCUUCGGGGUGAGUGGCAGACGGGUGAGUAACGCGUGGGAAUCUACCCAGCCCUUCGGAAUAGCUCCGGGAAACUGGAAUUAAUACCGAGUACGCCCUACGGGGGAAAGAUUUAUCGGGGUUGGAUGAGCCCGCGUUGGAUUAGCUAGUUGGUGGGGUAAUGGCCUACCAAGGCGACGAUCCAUAGCUGGUCUGAGAGGAUGAUCAGCCACACUGGGACUGAGACACGGCCCAGACUCCCACGGGAGGCAGCAGUGGGGAAUAUUGGACAAUGGGCGAAAGCCUGAUCCAGCCAUGCCGCGUGAGUGAUGAAGGCC
rnacentral:rRNA from 1 species